rnacentral:lncRNA from 1 species
CGCCUCUGCUUCUAAUUCGACUGCUCCUCCUUCCUCUCUGGGGACCCUUGGGAUUCAGCCAGGCCGCCUGGCUGAUCACAGACAAUCUUCCUAUCUCAGUUCCUUCAUUUAAUCACCGCAGCCAGGUCCUCUCUACAGUAAUGCAGUGUACACCAGAUUUCAGGUCUCAACAUUCGGCACCUUCUGCCGGCACUCAGGGCUGCUGUGGAAGACAGAAGAGGAGGGACCUCUGCUCAGGAAGUUCCCUGAAGACCAUUUCCUCCUCGCGGUGGACCAGGUCCAGAGGCUGUGCCUGGCUCUCCUGUGUCAAUAGUGCUGUGUCUCUGUCAAAGGACAGCCCUCCCCUCCCACGCCCCUCCUUCCUCCUCAGCCCUCUGCACCUGCCUGAGGUUACCUGGGGCAAAGAAAGUCCCUCCUUCUGUCACUCACAGGAGGACAUGUGGGAAGGUCACCUUGUCCACCUUCGCUGAGGUCCAAGCCUUGGGGAGACCCAACCAGGGCCGCCCCCUAAAGCCAUCAGCCCCAGAGAGCAUGCAGAAAUGUGAGCGCCGGGUACUUCUUGAGCCUUAGCAGAGAAAGUCUUCCCAUUAGGGGCAUGAACUGAGCUGGGACAAAAAGCAGUUGUUGGUACAGGGAGGCAGCGGGACUUGGGGGAGCCCUGCCUGGUGGGAGCAGCAACUCCAGCCAGUUACCACCUGGUCCUGCUUUGGAAGAUGAGGAGAAUGAAUUUCACGGUGAUCUGCCUUGGGCCACAGCACUGAGACAGCUGCAGCAGGGGACACAGCUGGUGCUGCCCCACCCCUGGAGGAAUUGCCACCCCCCGGAGGGGGUCACUUGUUG